rnacentral:misc_RNA from 1 species
UGGCUCUCGCAUCGAUGAAGAACGCAGCGAAAUGCGAUAAGUAAUGUGAAUUGCAGAAUUCAGUGAAUCAUCGAAUCUUUGAACGCACCUUGCGCUCCUUGGUAUUCCGAGGAGCAUGCCUGUUUGAGUGUCUUGAAGUCAUCAACCCGCACCGUUUUGCGACGGGGCUCGGUUGGAUAUGGGGCGUGCUGCCGCGAGGCUGCUCCCCUCAAAUGCUUCGGUCCGACCUGGUCGAACUCGAAAGGGCGUUGUACCAUCCUCGCUCUCCCGAGACGUUCCUGUGGCGUCGGACCUCGACCUGCCCGUGGGGUGGCGGUCAAACACAAACUUUGAAAUCUGACCUCAAAUCAGGUAGGACUACCCGCUGA